AAUGAACGCUGGCGGCAUGCCUUACACAUGCAAGUCGAACGGCAGCAUGACCUCGCUUGCUAGGUUGAUGGCGAGUGGCGAACGGGUGAGUAAUGCAUCGGAACGUGCCUUUUAGUGGGGGAUAACGUAGCGAAAGUUACGCUAAUACCGCAUAUUCUCUGAGGAGGAAAGCAGGGGACCUUCGGGCCUUGCGCUAGAAGAGCGGCCGAUGUCGGAUUAGCUAGUUGGUGAGGUAAAGGCUCACCAAGGCAACGAUCCGUAGCGGGUCUGAGAGGAUGAUCCGCCACACUGGGACUGAGACACGGCCCAGACUCCUACGGGAGGCAGCAGUGGGGAAUUUUGGACAAUGGGCGCAAGCCUGAUCCAGCCAUGCCGCGUGAGUGAAGAAGGCCUUCGGGUUGUAAAGCUCUUUCGGCUGGGAAGAAAUCGCACCCUCUAAUACAGGGUGUGGAUGACGGUACCAGCAGAAGAAGCACCGGCUAACUACGUG
rnacentral:rRNA from 1 species